GCAACGCGAAGAACCUUACCAGGUCUUGACAUCCCCCUGAAUGUUCUAGAGAUAGAGCAGGCCUUCGGGACAGGGGAGACAGGUGGUGCAUGGUUGUCGUCAGCUCGUGUCGUGAGAUGUUGGGUUAAGUCCCGCAACGAGCGCAACCCUUGAUCUUUGUUGCCAGCACGUAAAGGUGGGCACUCUAAGAUGACUGCCGGUGACAAACCGGAGGAAGGUGGGGAUGACGUCAAAUCAUCAUGCCCCUUAUGACCUGGGCUACACACGUACUACAAUGGCCGGUACAGAGGGCAGCGAUACCGCGAGGUGGAGCGAAUCUCAGAAAGCCGGUCUCAGUUCGGAUUGCAGGCUGCAACUCGCCUGCAUGAAGCCGGAAUUGCUAGUAAUCGCGGAUCAGCAUGCCGCGGUGAAUACGUUCCCGGGUCUUGUACACACCGCCCGUCACACCACGAGAGUUUACAACACCCGAAGUCGGUGAGGUAACCGCAAGGAGCCAGCCGCCGAAGGUGG
rnacentral:rRNA from 1 species